UCCCCAAUACACACAUUCUCUACAACCCAUAGCCACAUAUGCAUCACAUUACCCCACAAACACAACACGACUAAAACCGACCUUAUUACACAAUACCACACCACGACCAGCUCACUCUACACACACGCAAUACCACAAGCAGGCUCCAAACACAUCCACAAUACUCUUUCCUGGCCCUUUUGUCUCCUGGUAUCCAUUUAUAGAGACAUCAGGGACAAGUUGCAAGGAAAUACAGUGCAAGCAUGUUAUUAAAUUUGCUUGCAC